rnacentral:rRNA from 1 species
GACGAACGCUGGCGGCGUGCUUAACACAUGCAAGUCGAACGGAAAGGCCCUGCUUUUGUGGGGUGCUCGAGUGGCGAACGGGUGAGUAACACGUGAGUAACCUGCCCUUGACUUUGGGAUAACUUCAGGAAACUGGGGCUAAUACCGGAUAGGAGCUCCUGCUGCAUGGUGGGGGUUGGAAAGUUUCGGCGGUUGGGGAUGGACUCGCGGCUUAUCAGCUUGUUGGUUGGGUAGUGGCUUACCAAGGCUUUGACGGGUAGCCGGCCUGAGAGGGUGACCGGCCACAUUGGGACUGCGAUACGGCCCAGACUCCUACGGGAGGCAGCAGUGGGGGAUAUUGCACAAUGGGCGGAAGCCUGAUGCAGCAACGCCGCGUGCGGGAUGACGGCCUUCGGGUUGUAAACCGCUUUCGCCUGUGACGAAGCGUGAGUGACGGUAAUGGGUAAAGAAGCACCGGCUAACUACGUG